rnacentral:rRNA from 1 species
UACGUAGGGUGCGAGCGUUGUCCGGAAUUAUUGGGCGUAAAGGGCUCGUAGGCGGUUUGUCGCGUCGGGAGUGAAAACAUCGGGCUUAACUCGAUGCUUGCUUUCGAUACGGGCAGACUUGAGGUAUGCAGGGGAGAAUGGAAUUCCUGGUGUAGCGGUGAAAUGCGUAGAUAUCGGGAGGAACACCAGUGGCGAAGGCGACUACCUGGCCUGUUCUUGACGCUGAGGCGCGAAAGCUAGGGGAGCAAACGGG